AUUGAACGCUGGCGGCAGGCCUAACACAUGCAAGUCGAGCGGAUGAAGGGAGCUUGCUCCUGGAUUCAGCGGCGGACGGGUGGGUAAUGCCUAGGAAUCUGCCUUGUAGUGGGGGAUAACGUCCGGAAACGGGCGCUAAUACCGCAUACGUCCUGAGGGAGAAAGUGGGGGAUCUUCGGACCUCACGCUAUCAGAUGAGCCUAGGUCGGAUUAGCUAGUUGGUGGGGUAAAGGCCUACCAAGGCGACGAUCCGUAACUGGUCUGAGAGGAUGAUCAGUCACACUGGAACUGAGACACGGUCCAGACUCCUACGGGAGGCAGCAGUGGGGAAUAUUGGACAAUGGGCGAAAGCCUGAUCCAGCCAUGCCGCGUGUGUGAAGAAGGUCUUCGGAUUGUAAAGCACUUUAAGUUGGGAGGAAGGGCAGUAAGUUAAUACCUUGCUGUUUUGACGUUACCAACAGAAUAAGCACCGGCUAACUUCGUG
rnacentral:rRNA from 1 species